rnacentral:rRNA from 1 species
UACGUAGGUGGCAAGCGUUGUCCGGAUUUACUGGGCGUAAAGAGCGCGCAGGCGGUCGUUCAAGUCGCGUGUGAAAGCCCCCGGCUCAACUGGGGAGGGUCACGCGAUACUGAUCGACUCGAAGGCAGGAGAGGGAAGUGGAAUUCCUGGUGUAGCGGUGAAAUGCGCAGAUAUCAGGAGGAACACCAAUGGCGAAGGCAGCUCGCUGGGACGUGACUGACGCUGAGACGCGAAAGCGUGGGGAGCAAACAGG